GCAAACAAAUGUUAGAAAUGUUAGAAGCAUUACAAAACUUCAAGCAGUGUAAGGUUUAUCUGGAUAUAUUAGAUACCUGUUCAAUAAUGCUGUUAUCAAUUAGAGGAACUCUCUGCUUGUUUAGCAUUCCAUUCCAUAACCCUUUUUGUAAAUUAGCUCACUCACAUUCUUAGGAUUCAGAUAUCUUGAAAAACAACAAAAAUUUUGUAAGAACAGUGGAUUAAUUGGCAACAAUUACAAUGCUACACAAACGAAUGCGUGGAUCUCUUGCAGAAUGAUGAAAUGAUUUUCAGGAACUUCAAAAAUCAUGGGAUAAUUCUGAGGGAGACUCAUGAUUUCUCCAUAAUUAGCACAUGACCCAUGGUAAGUUUCAUUCGGAUGAGGUCCAAUUCCUAUUUGCAAACAGAAG
rnacentral:misc_RNA from 1 species